CGCUCCAGGAAACAUGAGUUGCGCCGGCAACGAUCAGGUCUCUUUCUCACCAUGCACUUGGUGCCUUCCACUCCCGGAGCUCGCCUCCUUCUAGGCUGCUGGCUCUUGCCGAGGGCUAGGAGGAAGGCGGCGGCCAGCGGUUCCAGCUCGGGCAGCGGCGGCAUCUUCCGGAGUCCCGCGGCGAAGAUGCUCAAAGUCACGGUGCCCUCCUGUCCCUCCUCGCCCUGCUCCUCGGUCACCUCCAGUACUGAGAACCUCGUCCCGGAUUACUGGAUCGACGGCUCUAAACGGGAUCCUCUGAGCGAUUUCUUCGAGGUGGAGUCAGAGCUGGGACGGGGUGCUACAUCCAUUGUGUACAGAUGCAAACAGAAGGGGACCCAGAAGCCCUAUGCUCUCAAAGUGUUAAAGAAAACA
rnacentral:lncRNA from 1 species